rnacentral:rRNA from 1 species
GAUGAACGCUAGCGGCAGGCCUAAUACAUGCAAGUCGAACGGUGUCUUCGGACAUAGUGGCGCACGGGUGCGUAACACGUAUGCAACCUACCUUACAUUGGGGGAUAGCCUUUCGAAAGGGAGAUUAAUGCCGCAUAAGACAGUAGCUGGGCAUCCAGCAGCUGUUAAAGAUUUAUCGAUGUAAGCUGGGCAUGCGUCCAAUUAGCUAGUUGGUGAGGUAACGGCUCACCAAGGCAAUGAUUGGUAGGGGAACUGAGAGGUCAAUCCCCCACACUGGAACUGAGAGACGGGCCAGACUCCUACGGGAGGCAGCAGUAGGGAAUAUUGGGCAAUGGACGCAAGUCUGACCCAGCCAUGCCGCGUGCAGGAUGAAGGCGUUAUGCGUUGUAAACUGCUUUUAUACAGGAAGAAACGACUCUUGCGAGAGGCAUUGACGGUACUGUAUGAAUAAGCACCGGCUAACUCCGUGCCAGCCGCCGCCGUAAUAC